CAGUCGCCACGGUAAUACGUAGGGUGCGAGCGUUAAUCGGAAUUACUGGGCGUAAAGGGCUCGCAGGCGGUUUCUUAAGUCUGAUGUGAAAGCCCCCGGCUCAACCGGGGAGGGUCAUUGGAAACUGGGAAACUUGAGUGCAGAAGAGGAGAGUGGAAUUCCACGUGUAGCGGUGAAAUGCGUAGAGAUGUGGAGGAACACCAGUGGCGAAGGCGACUCUCUGGUCUGUAACUGACGCUGAGGAGCGAAAGCGUGGGGAGCGAACAGGAUUAGAUACCCGCGUAGUCCCUGUCUCUUAUAC
rnacentral:rRNA from 1 species